GCGGGGGUUGCCGAGUGGAAAAGGCGCUGGAUUCAGGGUCCAGUCCCGUAGGGGUUCGAGGGUUCAAAUCCCUCCCCCCGCA
rnacentral:tRNA from 2 species